AAUUGUGGUCCUACUAAGCUGUUAGACAGAUAGCUUGGCUUAAGUUGCGAUGAAGGACGUGGCAAGCUGCGAAAAGUCUGGGGGAGCUGCAUGCGAGCUUUGAGCCCAGAAUAUCCUAAUGUGACAACAUUAUUUAUAAUUCCGAGAGGAAAGCAUACACCGGGAAUUGAAACAUCUUAGUACCGGUAGGAAAAGAAAACAAAAGUGAUGCCCUUAGUAACAGCGAGUGAAAAGGGCAGAGGGCAAACUGAAUCUUCUGUUGAAAAAUGGAUAGAGAUGUGGUAAGAUAAAUUUCUAAGUGCAAUUAUCAAAGUUUUCUGGAAAGAAGCACCAUAGAGAGUGAUAGUCUCGUAGAUAAAAGCAUAUGAAGUUUCUUGAUAGAGUAGCGUCUUCUGGAUUGAAGGCGUGAAUAUAGCAGGAUUAACUGCUAACCCUAAACAUUAACUUAAGUCCGAUAGAGAACUAGUACCGCGAGGGAAAGCUGAAAAGUACUCUUAAUAGAGAGUUAAAAGACUUGAAAUCUAACAGUAACAGCUUGUUACAGCGUGUGUUUUUAAACGCGGUUGUAACGUACGUUUCGAAAAAUGGGCCAGGGAGUUGUUUUUUGUGGCAAGGUUAACAUUUGGAAGCCAUAGCGAAAGCGAGUUCGAAAGAGCGCGAGUCACAGGGGACAGACCCGAAGCCAGAUGAUCUAUUCAUGGGCAAGGCGAAGUUUCUAGAAAUAGAGAUGGAGGCCUGAACUAGUGUUGUGUACAUGCACUUGGAUGACCUGUGAUUAGGGGUGAAAAGCCACUCUAAUCUGGCGAUGGCUGGUUCCAGUUGAAAUAUGCCUUAGUAUAGCGCUAUCUUGCUUGUAUGCGAGGUAAAGUACGGAUAAAAUUUGCAGGACUUAAUUGUUACGAAAUUUUUUCCAACUCAGAAUUUGCAUACUGCAUAGGAUAGCAAACGGGGGCAGGGCGUAAGGUCCUGUUCCGAGACCUGAACAAGGGAGACCAUAGUUAAGGCCCCAAAAUGUAUGCUAAGUGUAUCAAACUCUGUUUGAAAUCUAAGACGCUAGGGAGGUAGGCUCAGAAGCAGCCAUCCUUUAAAGAAAGCGUAACAGCUCACCUAUCGAGAUUCUAAGCGAGGAAAAUGGACGGGGCUAAGCAUACUGCCGAUACUGUGGAGGCACUCGGAUGAGUGUUCUGGUAAGCUGGCGUGCUUUUUGCUUAGAAGCUUUGCCGAGAGGCGGAGUGGAGCGAAAAGCAAUGAAAAUCCUGGCUGGAGUAGGAUCAAAUUUUCUUGAGAAUAGAAAAGGUCGUAAGAGCACGGUUUCCUUGGCACUAAUUUUUAGCCAAGGGUUAGUCAGUUCCUAAGUGGUGCCUUAACUGAGCACUUCGAUGGAAAUCAGGUUAAUAUUCCUGAACUGGCUUGUUUUGUUAUGCUGCAUAAUUGCUUCUGGAUAAGCGAGUUUCCUAAAGGGAAUUUAAUGCAGAAAUCUGUUUAGCGUAAUGCUGAGAUGCAGAUGAAUGCAUUAACGAGAAUUGUUGAUUCCCGGAGCCAGUGAAAAGUUAUGCAGAUAAAAACAAGUUAGCUGUACCAAGAACCAACACAGGUGCUCUAGCUGAGAAGGCUAAGACCUGAAAGGGAUAAACUGGUUAAGGGAAUUCGGCAUACUAGCCCUGUAUCUUCGGUAUAAAGGGUGUCUAUGUAUGUCUUUGAUAUGUAGAAGGCAUUUGUAGAUCACAGUAACAAGGACUGCCCGACUGUUUACCAAAAACAUAGCCGAGUGCAAAUCCGAAAGGAUGUAUAUACUCGGUGAGACCUGUCCAGUAGUGGUGUCUGAAACCCGGUUUCAACCGGGCUAAUGCCCACCAAACGGCGGGGGUAACUAUGACCCUCAAUUUAGGGGGCAAUAAAAUUUGGCUGUAUGCGGGAAAAUCCUGCUAAGUGUUUAGUACUCAUCAAUAAAUUAAGUUUAUCGAUAGUAAAAAUCUAAACAAUAAGGACAAUCCGCAGGAAAAACCCUAAGACUUAAAACUAAUUGCAAACCAAAACAAGUUUCUAAAUAACUUUUUAAGAAAAUAAAAUAAACUUUUUAAAAAGAAGUUUAAAAUAAUCUUUUAAGGAAGUUUACAAAAUAAACUUUGCUUGUGAAAGGAAGUUUACAAAAGAAACCUUUGGUGUCUUUUGGAUGAUAUAGUCCGAACAUUAUGGAAACAUAAUGAAAUAUCCAGAAAUGUAUAUUCGCCAUAAUUAUAAAUUAUGGUUAGUAAUUCUCUUUUGAGAAUGAAAGUAACAAACUUGCUUAAGGUAGCGCAAUGCCCUGUCGUCUGAAUGGCGACGUGCAUGAAUGAUUUAACGUGGUAGUCGCUGUCCCUAACCAGAACCUUCUGAAAUCACUGACCGGUGAAAAUGCCGGUGACAUCUAGUGGGAAGCUAAGACCUUGUGGAACUUUACUGCAGCAUGUUGUUGCAGUUUUUUGAGUGAUACAUAGGAUAAGUGGGAGCGUCGAAGCUGUCAUUUCGGUGGCAGUGGAGCAAAAGUGUAAUACCACUUAUUACUCAAAGAAUUGCUUACUCUAUACGAGGACAGCAGCUUGUGGGCAGUUUGGCUGGGGCGGCACCCUGUAGAAAAUAUAUCUAUAGGGCACAAAGAUAAGCUCACCUAGGGCGGAAAUCUAGGGUUGAGUGCAAGAGCAAAAGCUUAUCUAACUGUAUUUUGAAAAGCAAAAAAUGCAGAGGAGAAAUCCGGUUCUAGCGACCAUUCGAGAACUUUUGAUAGGUUCCGAAUGUGACAGAAAAGUUACCCCAAGGAUAACAGGCUUGUCGCGCCCGNNNNNNNNNNNNNNNNNNNNNNNNNNNNNNNNNNNNNNNNNNNNNNNNNNCAUCGCUGUCGGCUCUUCCUAACCUGGUGGUGCAUAAGCCACCAAGGGUGUCGGAGUUCACGCAUUAAAAGGGAUCGUUAGCUGGGUUAAGAACGUCAACAUUUCCAGUUAAUGAGAUUAAAUAAAAUCAGAGCACGAAAUUUACACGGCGUUGCAUCAGAGUAAUUUGAUGAAAAAUAAAAUCAGCUCAUAUCGGUGAAACCUAAACUUUUUUGUCUUUGUUUGAUUAAAACAAAGGGUUAAAUACAAAGAAAGCAUGGCAAUACCGAGGGAAGAUGAUAAUUAAAUUAAUAGUUCAAGAAUUUUAUUAAAUAUUUCUUGAUUUUUGAAUUAAAUAAAAAAUUAUUUAUCCCCGUAGAGACUUUGCGCUUUUGCGCAGGAGUUGCUUAUUAUAAGACAGCAGCUAAGACGCUGAUCUCCUAAAGAUAAAAAUAGGAUUAUAAAACUCUUAAUUUUUAGGAUGAUGGUAUAGUCCACACCAUUUCGAAAGAUUGGAAUUUGUACGUGAGACAGUUUGUAUGAUAUCUACUAGACGUGUGGUUGUUUGAGUGGAACGAGUAUCUAGUACGAGAGGAACGGUACUUGGGUGCCUCUGGUGUAUCAGUUCUCAUGUGGGAAGCUGAGCAGCUACGCACUGCGUGGAUAAGUGCUGAAAGCAUCUAAGCACGAAGCCAUCCGCAAAACGAGACAACAUAGGCCGCAGAAGAAGACUGCGUUGAUAGAACUGUGGUGUAAGCACGAAGCUUCGGCGACGUGUUCAGCCAGCAGUUACUAAUAGCCACACACCAUAAUU
rnacentral:rRNA from 1 species